rnacentral:rRNA from 1 species
CAGGCCUAACACAUGCAAGUCGAACGCUGAAGCUUGGUGCUUGCACUGGGUGGAUGAGUGGCGAACGGGUGAGUAUCACGUGAGUAACCUGCCCCUGACUUCGGGAUAAGCCUGGGAAACUGGGUCUAAUACCGGAUAUGACCAUCUUUCGCAUGUUGGGUGGUGGAAAGUUUUUCGGUUGGGGAUGGGCUCGCGGCCUAUCAGUUUGUUGGUGGGGUAAUGGCCUACCAAGACGACGACGGGUAGCCGGCCUGAGAGGGCGACCGGCCACACUGGGACUGAGACUCGGCCCAGACUCCUACGGGAGGCAGCAGUGGGGAAUAUUGCACAAUGGGGGAAACCCUGAUGCAGCGACGCCGCGUGGGGGAUGACGGCCUUCGGGUUGUAAACCUCUUUCAGUAGGGAAGAAGCCUUUGGGUGACGGUACCUGCAGAAGAAGUACCGGCUAACUACGUGCCAGCAGCCGCGGUAAUACGUAGGGUACAAGCGUUGUCCGGAAUUAUUGGGCGUAAAGAGCUCGUAGGUGGUUUGUCGCGUCUGCUGUGGAAUCGUGCCGCUUAACGGUGCGCGUGCAGUGGGUACGGGCAGACUGGAGUGCAGUAGGGGAGUCUGGAAUUCCUGGUGUAGCGGUGAAAUGCGCAGAUAUCAG